rnacentral:rRNA from 1 species
UACGAAGGGUGCAAACGUUGCUCGGAAUUACUGGGCGUAAAGGGCGCGUAGGCGGCCUUCUAAGUCGGACGUGAAAUCCCUCGGCUUAACCGAGGAACUGCGUCCGAUACUGAAAGGCUUGAAUCCGGGAGAGGGAUGUGGAAUUCCAGGUGUAGCGGUGAAAUGCGUAGAUAUCUGGAGGAACACCGGUGGCGAAGGCGGCAUCCUGGACCGGCAUUGACGCUGAGGCGCGAAAGCUAGGGGAGCAAACGGG